GUAGAGUUCAUUAGGUGAGUGUAAAACCGCUGGAUAUUACUUUGCUGAAGCAUGCCGUUUGACUUCCUAAAUGACAGAUGCCAUACAAGACAUUCCUGAAAUUAAGUUAAAUGAAGAUAAUGAGCUCUGAGAACCGAACCCUAAAGUCAAGCGGUUGGAGACCAUUUGACCUUAUUUUCAAUCUUCUUUAUUAGGGUUAAAGACAAAGAGUCCAAGUGUCUUGCUAAAUCGACCAGAGGAUGGCUGAUGAGCUAGAAAUUAAUGCCGUAGUUUAAAACAGGACUCAAGGAGAUGGGAAACAUCGGAGACCCAUUAACCUUUCCCAUGGCAUUGUAAAGAAACAAAACCAAGGAGAGCGAAGACCAACCAGAAGGGACGCCUUUGGACUGUAAUUAUUCAGAAGGCUUCAAAAGCAAUUAUUUCAGACGAUAUAGAAAAGAUAGCUCAGCAGAAGGCUGAUCUCUGCAAACGACAUGGACCAUUUUUGUACUUUGACCAUCACAGGCAAAAAUUGGAAUACAUUGCCAAGGGCUGAACAAAUCAGCAAUCUCUUUUCAGGGUUUGGUUUUCAUGACAAUCAAAGGAGCUUACCUUCAAGAAAUAAGAACGCUUCGAAACAGACCAUUCACAGAGCAGGCUCACUUCAGGCCUAAUCUGAAGUAAAUUCCACUGAGGUCAGAUGGACUGACACCCAGGCAAGUGUGAUAAUAAUCUAGAAGUAAACCCCACCGGGGGCGCGGGUGGCGCUGUGGGUAAAACCUAAGUGCCUAGAGCUUGCCGAUCGCAUGGUCGGCGGUUCGAAUCCCCGCGGCGGGGUGAGCUCCCGUCUUUCGGUCCCAGCUCCUGCCCACCUAGCAGUUCGAAAGCACCCUUAAGUGCAAGUAGAUAAAUAGGUACCGCUUUAUAGCGGGAAGGUAAACAGCGUUUCCGUGUGCUGCGCUGGUGCUGGCUCGCCAGAGCAGCUUCGUCACGCUGGCCACGUGACCCGGAAGUGUCUCCGGACAGCGCUGGCCCCUGGCCUCUUAAGUGAGAUGGGCGCACAACCCUAGAGUCGGACAUGACUGGCCCGUACGGGCAGGGGUACCUUUACCUUUACUUUAAACCCCACCGAAUUCAAAGGAAAUUGCUACAAAGUGGGCAUGCACAGGACCAAACUGUUAUGAUUUGCUAUGCACAAUAAACAAAUUUUAUUAGAUGGUACAAAAGAGUUGGCAAAACGAGCUUCCAUUGGGGGUGCAGGCCCAGGAGGGGUGCAAAAAUAAUCUAUCAGGCUGUGGAGUGUGUGACAUAUAUGUGUUUGGGGUGGGGGGACGUGCUGCCACUGUCACAGUGAGAUCCAAGGCAGGAGAAGAUUUCCGUCCUUCUCACACCAUGGCACAAAGGCAUGCGAUUUUUUUCACCCUUCCUAUCCACCUUGCCCUUUCUCCAGACGCUUUGAGUACUUGGGUGGCAUAAAAUGUAGUACCAUAUUUUUUGCUCUAUAAGACUUACUUUUUCUCUCCUAAAAAGUAAGGGGAAAUGUGUGUGCGUCUUAUGGAGCGAAUGCAGGCUGCGCAGCUAUCCCAGAAGCCAGAACAGCAAGAGGGAUUGCUGCUUUCACUGCGCAGUGAUCCCUCUUGCUGUUCUGGCUUCUGGGAUUGAGAAUAUUUUUUUUCUUAUUUUCCUCCUCCAAAAACUGGGUGCGUUUUAUGGUCUGGUGCGUCUUAUAGAACGAAAAAUAUGGUAAUUUAUAAUGUGACUAUUGCGGUAAAGUGGUUUUUCCAGCUGUGGGGGCACCACUGCCGAUAUAGCUCCUUGGGUGUGGGGAGCCUAGGAACACUUCUACAGAGGCAGGAAUGCUUACGAAUACAGUGGUACCUCGGGUUACAUACGCUUCAGGUUACAGACUCCGCUAACCCAGAAAUAGUACCUCAAGUUAAGAACUUUGCUUCAGGAUAAAAACAGAAAUUGCACGGUAGCAGCGGGAGGCCCCAUUAGCUAAAGUGGUGCUUCAGGUUAAGAACGGACCUCCAGAACGAAUUAAGUUCUUAACCCGAGGUACCACUGUACAAGUUCCUGGAAACCACAGUGGGAAAGAGCAGUUUUUAUAUGAACAGAGCUGGAGCUUAAAUUUUUGGUGGUGCACUGGGAGAGGGGAGUCAACGGAGGUGAGAUUGGGUGUCUGGAGGCCAACACACCAGAGACAGGUUAUUUUUUCCUGGGGGUCCCCCCCCCCCAAUUUGGUCUAACUUUGUUUCUUAUACAAAUAUAGACACACUCACGGACAACAAAUAGCGCCAGGUAAUGCAAAUGUUUGGAUCCAGUGAAAUUUAAGGUUCUAAGUCAGGCAUAGGCAAACUCGGCCUGCCAGAUGUUUUGGGACUACAACUCCCAUCAUCCCUAGCUAACAGGACCAGUGGUCAGGGAUGAUGGGAAUUGUAGUCUCAAAACAUCUGGAGGGCUGAGUUUGCCUGUGCCUGUUCUAAGUUGUACUUUGUUUUGGAGGGCGAUUUCAGGCUGACCUUUAAAACAAAACAAAACAAAACAAAAAUUAUAUUGGUUUUUAAGGGAAUAUAAAAGUAGAAAAUAAAUGUUUGAUACAGUUUUACAUGUUCUGAAAAGGCACUUUGUUCCAGAAUGUAAGAUACAGAGAUAUGCAAUAGAAUAAGCAGAAACAGUAAGACAAGGGAUGGGGGGAGGGAGGGUAGCAUUGGGGGCAUGUUUUUUUAUGUUUCGUAAUAGUAAAAAAGGAGGAUAAAGAGUCAUGUUUUGAGCUUAUACAUUGGUGUAUAUGGAGAGCAUAUUGGGGGAUGGGGAGGGAGAGAGAGAGGAGGAGUACAGGGAUGUUGUUUGUACUUUGUCAAAUCAACCAGGCUGUGUGAGCCAUCUUUUCCAUACUGAAUAAAAUCGAACUAUACUACAAAGAAUUCAUUUGUUUUGUUUGGCCCUCUUGCUUUCAGACUGACCUUAUAAUGGACUGCCCAUUAAUAUGCAGCCACAGACCACAAAACUUCCCAUUGAUGAUAAUUGUUGCACACUACCCCCAAUCUCCGGGCGGCACGAGGGUUUCCGGGAGUUUACCCGGGGUUCCUUUGGGAAUGAUGCACAGCGGAGAUUGUGGUGUCUUUAUAAUAUAUGGUUUAUUCACACAUAUAUACAACCUGAGCCUACAAUGGAGGGGCUCACAUCUUGUUUCUCCCAUAGCCACAGAAAUCGAACAAUGCUCUCAAACUUUGCUCUGACUCUCCAGCUUCCUGCUUUGCUUCUAAGGCCAUAUCACUGCAACUCAACUCUAAACUUAGGCUUAGUCCUUCUAACCAUUUCUGAGUUGAAGGAGGAGCCCUACCCAUUCGUCAUCUGGCACAGAACCCCCUUUCAUUUGCUCUCUUAAUGGCCCAUCACCCAUGCGAUCACCUCAACACGGGAAGCUAGCCUGCCUUAUAUAGAAGGAUCUUGCACACAGCCUGCUUCCUCCCCUCUAAAACUCCUAACAAUAUGUACGGACAUUGACUCAGCAAGUUUCACAUUUAUUUUAAUUCAUUAAUUGUUCCCGUUGUGACUGUUGCAAAUUUUCUUUGUAUUGUUCUAUUAGUUAUUACUGCAAGCUGCAUAAAAUCACAAAUUCGGUAAAAAAUAAUUUGACAAAAAAAGAAAGAAAGAGCAAAGCCAUAUUGGGUAGUUUUGCCUAGCAGUUGGAGGAAAUGUACCAUCAAAGAAUGAAACCCCAUCUUCAAAUGGUAAGUGUUGGAAGUGUACAAGGCAGGGGCAGUUGUACCUGUAAUAAUAGGACAAUUUUUUAUAGAUGCUUCUUCUUCUUCCGAAAACUUUUUUUAUUAUCUAGGUGCUUCUUUUUUUCAGCGCUGUGUGGCAAGAUGUACCUGCCCAGAUGUUUUCGCCCAGCUGCUUUCCUCAAUAUAAGUACUAGAGGUGUUCUCAUCUGGUCACCCCCAGGGAGAUAUCUUCGGGUCACUGAAUGAUUUAUCUGACGUUAA